CUCAACUGUAACGGGACAGGCUUCAGUUUCCGGACUGUUUUCAAAGGCAGACCUACGCACAACUCAUUGCAGUAAUCUAAGCGAGAGGUUACCAGAGUAAGUUCAACAGAGAUGGAUUUGUGCUUGAGUAGACUUUUGUCAAAGGCGAACAAGACAGGAUAAAGCAAAUAUUUGGAACUAAUUUGCCCUCCCACUCAAACUGGGCACUCAGUAAUUACAAGUUGGCUCUUCAUACAGCAACUUGCAGGAUAUAUUUAUUUAUAUUUUUUGGAAGUAGCAAUAGGGAAAAAGUAGAUGUGACAUUCUUUGGAAACUUCAGAUGGUCCAGAAUGCUGCAGCAAAGAUGCUUGUGAGCACUAGUCACUGCACGAGUAUUACACCAAUUCUGUGGCAGCUCCAUUGGUUUCCAGUUUGCUUCAGAGUUGGAUUCAGCAUGCUGAUAUUGACCUUUAAAACCCUACAUAGCUUGGCACUAGGAUAUCUGUUGGACCGCAUUCAUCCAUAGGAAUCUGCCAAGGACUUCAGAUCAUCAAACUCAGCCCUUCUCUUGGCCCUGCCAUUGACACAGGUUUGGAUGGGCAAGACCAGGGAUGAGCUCUUUUCAGUUGUGGCUCCCUGCUUUUGGAAUGCCCUCCCAGAGGGGCUUCAUCAGUCUCCCUAUUUGAUUAGUUUGAAAAAGAACUUUAAAACCUUCCUUUUUAAAGAACCUUUGAAAAACUGACCAGAAUAGUGUUUCUAGUUUUAAUCAGUUUUAAUCCAAACUGCUGUUCUUUCUCAUUUAUCUUAGCUAUUUGGUAUUUUAUCUCGCUGUAUUAUUUAGUAUAUCUUAUUGUGUUUUAUGGUUGUAUUGUAUUUUUAAUGUGCUUUAUUGUCUUUUAUUGUUAUAUUGUCAAUACAAUAUAUUGUCAAUGUUUUAUGGUUUAUUGUAAGCCACCGCAAGCAGCAGUAUCUGGCAGGGUGGGAUAUAAAUAUCUUAAACACAUAAAAUAAAUAAAAAAUAAAUAUCAUACAAAUAGAUAGAUUUAUAGAAAGAACCCAGAUCUCGAAUCAAUCCAUAUCAGGUUACUUCUCUGUGGAGGACCAGUAAGUACAAUAUGACAGGCAG